rnacentral:ncRNA from 2 species
UAGAUUUCAUAGAGCUUAGGUGUCCAUCAUUGCGGAUGGGUGAAAAGGGAAUCCGGUGAGAAUCCGGAGCGAAGCCGUCACUGUGUCAGGGAGUCUGUGCUUGUUAUCACUGAGAAAUUGGGAAGAUAGCACAGAUGUUGAUCGAAGUCAGGAGACCUGCCUAAGUUUUGCAAUUUUG